UGCGGAGGGAUCAUUACAGAGUUAUCCAACUCCCAAACCCAUGUGAACUUAUCUCUUUGUUGCCUCGGCGCAAGCUACCCGGGACCUCGCGCCCCGGGGCGGCCCGCCGGCGGACAAACCAAAACUCUUGUUAUCUUAGUUGAUUAUCUGAGUGUCUUAUUUAAUAAGUCAAAACUUUCAACAACGGAUCUCUUGGUUCUGGCAUCGAUGAAGAACGCAGCGAAAUGCGAUAAGUAAUGUGAAUUGCAGAAUUCAGUGAAUCAUCGAAUCUUUGAACGCACAUUGCGCCCAUUAGUAUUCUAGUGGGCAUGCCUGUUCGAGCGUCAUUUCAACCCCUAAGCACAGCUUAUUGUUGGGAACCUACGGCUUCGUAGUUCCUCAAAGACAUUGGCGGAGUGGCAGUGGUCCUCUGAGCGUAGUAAUCUUUUAUCUCGCUUCUGUUAGGUGCUGCCCCCCCGGCCGUAAAACCCCCAAUUUUUUCUGGUUGACCUCGGAUCAGGUAGGAAUACCCGCUGAACUUAAGCAUAUC
rnacentral:rRNA from 1 species